AUUGAACGCUGGCGGCAGGCCUAACACAUGCAAGUCGACCGAGUGGCGGACGGGUGAGUAAUGUCUGGGAACCUGCUCGAUGGAGGGGGAAAACUACUGGAAACGGUAGCUAAUCCCGCCUACCAUCGGAUGUGCCCAGAUGGGAUUAGCUAGUGGGUGGGGUAAAGGCUAACCUAGGCGACGAUCCCUAGCUGGUCUGAGAGGAUGACCAGCCACACUGGAACUGAUACACGGUCCAGACUCCUACGGGAGGCAGCAGUGGGGAAUAUUGCACAAUGGGCGCAAGCCUGAUGCAGCCAUGCCGCGUGAAUGAAGAAGGCCUUCGGGUUGUAAAGUACUUUCAGCGAGGAGGCGUUACUCGCAGAAGAAGCACCGGCUAACUCCGUGCCAGCAGCCGCGGUAAUUC
rnacentral:rRNA from 1 species